CCUUCUAAGAUUUUAUAAAGAAGAUUGAUAAAAGAUUGUCGCGAAUGAACAUUCUCGCAGCAACCGAGCUGAGUUAAAGUGCUUUGAGUCUCGUUUCGACUACAGUGAAAAUUUAUAUUCGACUGCAUUAAUUGAAAAUUUAUAAAGCGAUUACUCCAGCCGGAGGCUGUACUAGACCGAAGAGGAGGGUCGUCUGGGUUACUCCCAAGAGAAACGGCGGUAUAAAACGGACUGCGUGCAGAGAAAAUAUCGGAGAAAAGUGUCCAUGGUGUCUACUGAGAAGGGAAUAACUGUGACCGUCAUGCAAAUACGAGUAAGGUGCUAAUAGCUUCGGUAAACUCGCGGAUUCCUUAAUCAAGGUGACGAAGAGAAAAACUUAAAGCAAGAAGAAUCGGGUCGCAACCAUGAAAUCCGCGAUCGCGCUGCAACAAUUCAAAAAAUGCAUCAUCUUAUUUAUAGUAGGCAUCGGAUGUAGCACCUUGAUGUAUAUGAUUUACGUCUUCGAUCCCACUACUAUGAUAGUGGAAUAUGUAAGUAUAUGGGAGAAUC
rnacentral:lncRNA from 13 species